AUGCCGCCGCCCAUGGCGCUCUCCGUCUCCGUCUCCGUCUCCUCCUCCGCCGCGGCCUUCGCCCCGCGCCACCGCCUCCCCGCGCCCCGUAGCCUCACCCGCGCCGCCCGCGCCUUCUCCACGGGCUACGCCGCGAGCUUCUACGGAGGCGCGGCGUCCGCGACCCGCACCCGCGGCCGCGACGAGGAGGAGGUCGGGGACGAGGACGGGUCGUCGUCGGGGUUCGGCGGGAUGUCGGCCUCGGAGGCGGCGAUGGCGCUGGAGGAGCGCGAGAUGCCGCCCUGCCCGCCCGGCCUCCGCCAGUACGAGACCAUGGUCGUGCUCCGCCCCGACAUGUCCGAGGAGGAGCGCCUGGCCCUCAUCCAGCGCUACGAGGAGCUGCUCGUGGCCGGGGGUGCCAUGUACGUGGAGGUGUUCAACAGAGGGGUCAUCCCACUGGCCUACAGCAUCAGGAAGAGGAACAGCAGGACCGGGCUGCCCUUCACCUACUACGAUGGCAUCUACCUCCUCUGGACCUACUUCACCAAGCCCGAGUCGGUGGACACCCUGCAGAUGAAGCUCAACGCUGAUGACGACGUCAUCCGCUCGACCAGCUUCAAGGUCCGCAAGAGGAGAGUCUACUAG
rnacentral:rRNA from 1 species